rnacentral:snoRNA from 2 species
GCCUGUGAUGACAUGAUGGUUUCAGAAAGAGGCAUUUUUUUUGUCUUAUCUGUUGAUAUUUAUCAUGAACUAGGACGGUCUGAGGC